UAAAAAAAAUCUGAAACAUCAUUUCUCUCUCCCUCUUUUCCUCUAUCUUCCCCGAAGCCUCAUUCUCUCUCUUACUGUGUUGCCUCUGCCAGGCCCGAACGGCCAUCGCCCCAUCACCGGAGCCAUACACGCGCCAGCCCAAUCAAACCGCCGGCCCUCGAUACGUCAACCCCCGCGAGCUCACCACCAUACGCGCUGCUCAGGGCUGUCAACCAACGGUCCGAAGCCGACCGCCUCUUGCAUUUUCCGGCGAGAUUCCAACUACCCCGAGCCUCUUGUUUGACGAUCUGUGAUUAGUUAGGCUACGACAGUGACGGGGAAGAGGUGUGGGUCUGGGCUCGUGGUCUUCCUCGUCUCAGAUGCGGGCUCAAUGGUGGGGAUGGGGAUCGACGUGAUGAGAAGAAUCAUCUUUCUCUUUUCUUACAUUUCAAUUUAUAUUUGUUUGUAUAUGUGAUGAGAAGAAUGAUUGAUUAUUGACGGUGUUGGCUUCAUUACUCAGAUGAAAAAUACUACAAGUCUUCUGAUUCCAUCAAAUGUAAAGACAGAUCCAAGAAAUUCACCAAAACCCAGCUCAACGACAACUUCUGCGACUGCCCCGAUGGCACCGACGAGCCUGGAACAUCUGCUUGUCCAAAUGGAAGAUUCUAUUGUCAAAAUGCAGGGCAUGCUCCUAAAGUGUUAUUCUACUAGAGUGAAUGAUGGUAUAUGCGGAUGUUGUGGACGUCCAUGACAGUUUAGCUGCUGAAGCUGAACAUGGUGAUGCUUCCAGAAAGGAAAGGUCCUCAGUUCAAGGUGUAGAAUAGGAAAAUAGCUUUAGUGGCGGUAAGGUUCGUGGAUGCUUCGGGAAUGUGUAUCGGUGGUGAAUGGAUUCAAGGAGUCGAGAGUUCGAUUUCAAGGAUGUAGUCUUUUAUUUAUGGUUUUACAUGUAUUUUUCUGCACUUUCUAUGUAACUCCUUUAUAUUUUAAAUUAUGUUUUGUUUUUAAGACAAUGGGAUCCCAUAUCCUUCUUGAUAUUUUAUGUAAGGAACUCUUAUUUCUACAAGUUUUUCUAAUAAAGUUAUGGUAUUUUCUCCAAA